rnacentral:rRNA from 1 species
UACGAAGGGUGCAAGCGUUACUCGGAAUACUGGGCGUAAAGCGUGCGCAGGCGGUGAUGUAAGACAGUUGUGAAAUCCCCGGGCUCAACCUGGGAACUGCAUCUGUGACUGCAUCGCUGGAGUGCGGCAGAGGGGGAUGGAAUUCCGCGUGUAGCAGUGAAAUGCGUAGAUAUGCGGAGGAACACCGAUGGCGAAGGCAAUCCCCUGGGCCUGCACUGGACGCUCAUGCACGAAAGCGUGGGGAGC